rnacentral:misc_RNA from 1 species
GAUGAAGAACGCAGCGAAAUGCGAUACGUAAUGUGAAUUGCAAAUUCAGUGAAUCAUCGAGUCUUUGAACGCACAUUGCGCCCCCUGGUAUUCCGGGGGGCAUGCCUGUCCGAGCGUCAUUGCUGCCCUCAAGCACGGCUUGUGUGUUGGGCCCCGUCCUCCGAUCCCGGGGGACGGGCCCGAAAGGCAGCGGCGGCACCGCGUCCGGUCCUCGAGCGUAUGGGGCUUUGUCACCCGCUCUGUAGGCCCGGCCGGCGCUUGCCGAUCAACCCAAAUUUUUAUCCAGGUUGACCUCGGAUUAGGUAGGGAUACCCGCUGAACUUAAGCAUAUCAAUAAGCGGAGGA